rnacentral:lncRNA from 1 species
GCCAAAGUCAGAGGUGGACCUCUCUCCCCCGCGGCGCACGUUAGCCCCUCUCCAUCUCUCCCAAGCGGUGGUGCCCUCCUCAUCCACCCACGUCACAAAUUCAGCCGCACAUCCCUCCCCACUUUAACAACAACCAUGCCCCUUUCCCUCCACCACACCCAACCCAAUCAACCUUCUCACUCUCUUCUCCUCUCCCCCUUAUCCUCCGCCCCCCUCCUCCCUAUCCUUCACCCACCCCCUUAACCUAAUCAACACUACCUUUCUUUUCCUCUUCUCCGCCAUGGCUUCCCCAUCUUCCCCCACUGAUUCCAACCCCCCCUCCGCGGUUCCUCUCCCUCUCCCCGCCCCUCCCUCCACCUCCUCCCGCCGCCUCCCCCCGCCCUGCUGGACCCCGGAGGAAACCGCCGCCCUCAUCGACGCCUACCGCGACAAGUGGUACUCCCUCGGCCGCACCAACCUCAAAGCCACCCACUGGCAAGAGGUCGCCGACGCCGUCACCGCCCAGUGCCCCAACGCUUCCCCCACUGCCAAAACUGCCGUCCAGUGCCGCCACAAAAUGGAAAAACUCCGCAAACGGUACCGCACCGAAAUCCAACGCCUCCGCUCCCUCCCCCUCCCUCGCCUCAUCAACAACUCCACCACCGCUUCGCCCUCCUCCUGGGUCCACUUCAAAUCCAUGGACUCCAUGGAAAAAGGCCCCAACAAACCCCACACCGACACCACCACCGCCACCAACCCCAGCACCCCCUCCAACAACCUCAACUUCCCAGACGACGACAACGACGACGAUCUGUACGAGGAAUUCAAGAACGCCCCCGGAUCCAACACGCGCAGCCUCAACAAACUCUACAAGAACGGUUUCGGAUCCGGCUCCGGC